UAUUGUCUAGAAGAAACGAUAAUUGUCAACAUAUAAAACCGACUAAAGUGACGAUACGGGAGUUCGGAUCUAUAGUUUGUGUUGAAUACCCAAUCAAAUUGGGGAUCCUAAGAACUAUGUAUGGACACCCACCUGUAAUUAUGCAGGUUUUAUCGCCUGACAACCGUUCUUCUGGAUUUUUG
rnacentral:other from 1 species